AUGUGUUAAUGUGCACUCAUAUAUCUAUGGAUAGGAAACACUAUACACAAUGAAAAUAGGGGAAGGGACUGUGUGCCUGGCUGUGUUCUAGCGGGCCGGUGCUUCGGUAACAAGUGAAUCGAGCCAGACUACUACUAAAUGUCCUCAGACAGUGAUCGGUUGAUUUAAGCUUUGGUGUGACGGAGAGGAGAUGAAUGUCAGCGAUUUCUUUUUUUAAAACCACAGAUUCAUCACCUGGCAUUGAGGGUAAUGAGCGAGGCGUGGAGGUGAACACAUUAAACCAAGCCGACUUUGCCCAGCCAGGAGGGAGGACAGAGACGGUACAGGAACAGAGGGGCAGCGACCAGGACCAAACCAAACCCCCUCCACAUCCCUUCCAACUCCUCCAUGGUGGCCCCACACCUGUCCAACACUGGGAGGCGAUUUUACACAACAACAACAACACUAGAACAGAUUGAAGGGGAAGGCAAAAAGCUGGCUUGGGGAGUGUGCUGGAGACAGACAGACAGGAAAAGGAGGACAGGGAUGCCAGGGAACUUCUCUGGUGCUGAGAGGUACGACCCCUUUCAUCACACUGAAACAUGGACGCCUGAGUCUAAAGCGACACUUACAGAGAGACUUGGGCUGGAAGUCUUUGACACAAUGAACAGAAAGGGACAGAGAUACAGUACAUUCGGAAAGUAUUCAGACCCCUUGACUUUUUACAGUUUGUUUUGUUACAGCCUUGUUCUAAAAUUGAUCAAAUAAUUUUUCCCCCCACAUCAAUCUACACACAAUACCACAUACUGACAAAGCAACAUUUUUAGAAAUUUUAGCAACUUUAGAAAAAAACAAAACAGAAAUACCUUAUUUACAUAAGUAUUCAGACGCUUUGCUAUGAGAUUCGUUAUUGAGCUCAGGUGCAUCCUGUUUCCAUUGAUAAUCCUUGAGAUGUUUCUACAACUUGAUUGGAGUCCACCUAUGGUAAAUUCAAUUGAUUGGACAUGAUUUGGAAAGGCACACACCUGUCUAUAUAAGGUCCCACAGUUGACAGUGUAUGACAGAGCAAAACCAAGCCAUGAGAUUGAAGGAAUUGCCCAUAGAGCACAGUGUCGAGGCACAGAUCUGGAGAAGGAUUCCAAAAAAUGUCUGCAGCAUUGAAAGUCCCAAGAACACGAUGUCCUCCAUCAUUCUUAAAUGGAAGAAGUUUGGAACCACCAAGACCCUUCCUAGAGCUGGCCACCCGGCCAAACUGAGCUAUCAGGGAGAAAGGCCUUGGUCAGGGAGGUGACCAAGAACCCAAUGGUCACUCUGAAAGCGCUCCAGAGUUCCUCUGUGGAGGUGGGAUAACUUUCCAGAAGGACAACCAUCUCUGCAUCACUCCACCAAUCAGGCCUCUGAAUAUCUCUGAAUGUCCUUGAGUGGCCCAGCUAGAGCCCGGACUUGAACCCGAUUGAAGAUCUCUGGAGAAACCUGAAAAUAGCUAUGUAGCGUCGCCCCCCCCCAUCCAACCUGACAGAGCUUGAGAGGAUCUGCAAAGAAGAAUGUGAGAAACUCCCAAAAUACAGAUGUUCCAAGCUUGUAGCGUCAUACCCAAGAAGACUCGAGGCUGUAAUCGUUGCCAAAGUUGCUUCAACAAAGUACUGAGUAAAGGGUCUGAAAUCUUAUGUAAAUGUGAGUAUUGUGUGUAGAUUGAUGAGGGGGGAAAAAAACUAUAGAAAUCAAUUUUAGAAUAAUGUUGUAGCGUAACAAAAUGUGGAAAAAGUCAAGGGGUCUGUAUACUUUCCGAAUGUACUGUACAGUAUGGCAGAGGUUCGGAGAUAAAAAUGUAUUGAUUAAUCAAGGGUGUAAUAUGGAAUAAGCUGAAGAGGGAUAUGACUGAUACAUGUACAUUAUACUGAUAUUGCUGGUAAGGAUCUUCCUUGACUGACGUACAGGUACGUUGUGUAGGUCAGCAGCUGUCCAACACUGUACUGGAAAUCACUUCUAUGUGCGGAGUACUCUGAAAACCACAGAGGAUGGCAUUCCAUACCAGUUUCAAUCAAGUGUAUAUUUCACAUGAACGAUCCCAACACAAGCAUGACAACAGUGUUCAGGUGAUAGACUCUACAUCUGUAGUCAAAGCUCUAUCCACAAGACCAACCUAAAUGCAUACCCACUACUGUAUUGACAGAACGUGCAAGAUGCUGUAGAUAACUAUGUGUGUGUGCCCAAGCCAAAAUACAACAAACUUGCACUAUAACUUCUCAAGGCCUUUUCUGGGAGCAUCUGCGGUAUAAAAAAUGCUAAUAUAAGACUAGCUGAUUAAUAAUUAAACAAUUACUGUUAUGAAUCAAUAACUUCUGCACAUAUUUUUCAUCAGCACAUUGGUACAAUAAACAAAUAAUCAGUAUUAGCAAUUCAAAUAUGCAUGGGGGAAAAAAAUACAUUCUAAUCUGUAUAUUUUGAUGAAAAAUUAAAC
rnacentral:lncRNA from 8 species